CCUACUCUCUUUUUCUUUUUCUUCCUUUCUAACCUUUUCCUCCACAACAUCGACCUCCUCCUCGGCCUUGAAAACCGCGUCAAAUACACCGUCGUCGAGGUCCUCAACGGCGAUUGCCGCCACGACCAAGCUCUAGUCCGCGACAAGCGCUGGUCCAACUUCGAACUCCUCUGCAUUUCGAAACCCAGAUCCAAAUUGCCAAUUGGGUUCGACGGAAAAGCCUUGGUUUGGAAGAGAGAGGAGAGAAGGCGGCGGAGGAAAAGGAAAAGCAAGGUCUGGAAACGACGUCGGGCGCGGCAGAUGAGGCGGACGGCGGAGCUGUCGCUGUCCAGAAUGCCCAAGUUAAAGCCCAAGCACAAGCCCAAGCCCAUGCCCAUGCCCAUGCCCAAGUCCAAUCUCAAUCCCGAUUGAAAUUCCAUCGUGCCCAUUUCUUCCUCAUCGCCCAAGCCAAUAUAGAAAAAAUUCAAAAACAAGAAGGAGAAUGCGGUUUCCAAAUUUAAUAACAGUUGGCCCACCUCGCUUUGAAGGAGUUUCAAGGUUUGGAGAUCGUGAUGGGUACCGUGGAGGUCCUCGUGGUCCUCCAGGUGAAUUUGGUGGUGAGAAGGGAGGAGCUCCACCGGAUUUCCAGCCCUCUUACAGGGGGCUAAUAAUUGAAAGAAUCCAAGCUGAGCCUGUGGAGGGUAAGAGAAAGUUUAUCUAUCUUGGGGAUGGUAAACUUUUUCCCCUAGAUUUGAGCUUGUGUCGUACAAUAAUGUGAACAUCAAUUAUCACAUUCAGUUUGUGAAAUCAGUUAUGGAUUUAGUGUUUGUAAUUGUACCUUCUUUCUUAUUAGUUACUUUCCCUUUAAUCUUGCUUGUCUCACAGGAGCACAGGUGUGAAAGAGAAGCUCUCAGAUAAAUACAAAGACAAAAUAGUUGAUUAGAAAAUAUUGGCGAAUGAGGUAGGUCCUAGGUCUCUAGGGCCAUAGGGAACACGUAUGACCACUUCUCUUUCUCACACGCACUUAUCUUCUACCUUUGAGUCUUUGACAUAACCUACACAUCUCUUUCUGUCUCUCAAAACUACUGUGCUAGCUGCGGUCUUCAAUGACUUUAUAAUUAUUUUCAAUCUUGUGCAUUUUGAUUUUCAAAACAAUAUGGUUCAUGUAUCAAAAUUUUACUGAAGUGAAUGUGUAAAUUUUUCUUUAAUUUUUAUGCUAUUUUUAAUAUGUACAAUUCCUUGACUCUUGAGUGAAUAAAUCAAUAUCUCAAGUAUUUAUUACUUGAUAUGGGAUGGGUAAUGGUAAAUCCUUUAUUGUCACGUUUCAUGGUCGUUGAAAAGGGAUUGUAUGAAACUUUGAAUGCUGUCUCUUAAAGAACUUCCUUUUGGGAAAUUGCAUCUUUUUGACAUUUGCAAACAUAAAGUCGAAAGCCAUUGUUGCUUACUUUUUUACUCAAUAGUCAUAAUCUUUUUGAGAGUCGCUUUACAAUGAUUUCCAAGGAGAGAGAGAGAAAAUCUAUUCAAGUUUUGUGAAUUACUAUAAAAGCCCUUACUGCCACUACUUUUAAUGAAUUAUGUGUGAGUGUCUAGUGUCUACUACACUUGACCAAGACUUCAAAAAGUUUUGAAGACUUUGAUCGAACAAUUGGAUUGGAUGGGCAGCUAAGGACCUCAUAUUAUUAGCUUCGACAUAGGUUAUACAUAUCUGUUGAAUUGAUUAUUCCAAUAGUAUAAGUACAAUUAAUGAAGCCUGGUCACUUAUAGUGGAAUCCAUGGUGGCAUUGAUCUCACUUUUUUCCUAAGCCUUGUGUUUGGCAUUUCAAAUUUUGAAAUCCAUUUUGAUUGGUAACCUUAACCUGUUGCCCCUUUGUAGUGAAGGGUUCUAUUUUUGUUUUGUAACUUUUGAGUGCAUGUUAAGAGUCCCACUAAUGACAUGUUGACAGGUGCGGAAAUUUUCUUUUUGGGGCUUGGAUGUGCAAGUAGUGAACUUUUAAUUUGCGAUAAGCUCUCUCCCUUUGUCUCUCUAUCACUUCUUUCUCUCUCUCUUACGUCUGCAAAGACGAAGAAGGUAUGUUAGAUUUCUAGUCAUGGUCACACUUUCAAAGAAAAAUAAACUUCAGACGUGGUGCCAUUAUAAUGUUUUUCAUUAAAAACAGAAGUACAAUUAUAUUUUUAUUAGUUAAUUCAUGGAUGGAUAUAUGAAUGUUUACAUGCAUGCAUGAUGAUCAAGCAGCACAUUUGUUCUCACAUCUUAAUAAAGAGAGCAUUUUCGCUGAUUGUGGCUAACAAGGAAAUUUAAAAUUACAAAAAAGGAGUAAUGCUUGAUAUUGAUGCCAAAAAUAUUAUAUUCGUGAAGUAGAAAAUAGUUGAUUCCUACGAAUUUGGAAAAUAAAAUAUAUUGGCAAUUUGAAUUGGAAUAGUUAAGUAGAUAUUCCUGUAGCUAUUUUACUUAUGCAAGGACCCUUUUUAGUGCAAUUGUUGAGAUGCUUGUAUUGGUUCAGGUAUUUCUUAUGUUAUAGGCGUAUGUAAUGAAAAAUGCUUCUUGCCAUUUGACUUUUUGGGAUGUACUUUACUCUUUAAGUUGUGUGCCUGAAAUUCUUUUACCCCUUAUCUUGUAUAUUUCCUGUGUCAUUUGUUGGAUGGUUAUGCAAUGGUUUUAUUGAUUUACAUCAGCAUGUGCUAGAGAGGGGAAAGCCUCAUGAAAGAAGCUAGAUUAUAAGCAAGUUGUCAGGACAUAUUGUACAACUGAGCCAAUAUAAAUUUGCAUCAAACGUUAUUAAGAAAUGUUUGGAGUAUGGUGGCCCCACUGAACAAGAACUAUUAAUUGGGGAGAUUUUUGGGCAUAAUGAAGGAACUGAUAAUUUAUUGGCCGAAGGUUUCAUCGACACUUUUCUUCAAUUAUAACACCUCGAUGGGACUGCCAUAUCGGGUUUUGGUAGAUACCAACUUCAUCAAUUUCUCUAUCCAGAAUAAACUAGACUUGGAGAAGGGAAUGAUGGACUGCCUAUAUGCAAAAUGUGAGUUUAGAAUCACUGGUUUCUUCAAUUUAAUGUGAAUAUUAAUUUGCUGCAAGAAUUGUUGAGCUGUGUUGAUGAGGUAUCCUAAGUUCAACAUAGUUGUUAAUGUGGUUUUAUAACAAGCAUUGAGUGCCAUGUAUCAUUGGCAAACACUUAAAUAUGUGUUGGUUGCUUAAUGAUAUUUAUCAAAAUAUUACUCUUGAUUGUGUGGAUGUCCAUGAAAAUGCUUAAGGAAUAAAAUGAGGAUCUUUUUUUAAAUUAUGAUUUUAUUGAA